UACGUAGGGCGCAAGCGUUUGUCCGGAAUUAUUGGGCGUAAAGAGCUCGUAGGCGGCUUGUCACGUCGGAUGUGAAAGCCCGGGGCUUAACCCCGGGUCUGCAUUCGAUACGGGCUAGCUAGAGUGUGGUAGGGGAGAUCGGAAUUCCUGGUGUAGCGGUGAAAUGCGCAGAUAUCAGGAGGAACACCGGUGGCGAAGGCGGAUCUCUGGGCCAUUACUGACGCUGAGGAGCGAAAGCGUGGGGAGCGAACAGG
rnacentral:rRNA from 1 species